rnacentral:rRNA from 1 species
UGGGAGCCUUGAGUUCUUAGGGCGCGCUACGCCUUUAAGUUGACGCCUGGGGAGUACGGCGGCAGGGUUAAAAUCAAAGGAAUUUACGGGGGCCCCCCCCCAAGCGGUGGAGCAUGUGGGUUUAAUUCGAAGCAACGCGAAGAACCUUUACCAGGGCCUUGACAUCCAAUGAACUUUCCAGGAGAUGGAUUUGGUGCCUUCGGGAGCAUUGAGACAGGGUGCUGCAUGGCUGUCGUCAGCUUCGUGUCGUGAGAUGUUGGGUUAAGUCCCGUAAACGAGCGCAACCCCUUGUCCUUAGUUACCAGCACAUUAUGGUGGGCACUCUAAGGAGACUGCCGGUGACAAACCGGAGGAAGGUGGGGAUGACGUCAAGUCAUCAUGGCCCUUACGGCCUGGGCUACACACGUGCUACAAUGGUCGGUACAGAGGGUUGCCAAGCCGCGAGGUGGAGCUAAUCCCACAAAACCGAUCGUAGUCCGGAUCGCAGUCUGCAACUCGACUGCGUGAAGUCGGAAUCGCUAGUAAUCGCGAAUCAGAAUGUCGCGGUGAAUACGUUCCCGGGCCUUGUACACACCGCCCGUCACACCAUGGGAGUGGGUUGCACCAGAAGUAGCUAGUCUUAAC